rnacentral:rRNA from 1 species
GGCGACGAUCGGUAGCUGGUCUGAGAGGAUGAUCAGCCACACUGGAACUGAGACACGGUCCAGACUCCUACGGGAGGCAGCAGUAGGGAAUUUUUCACAAUGGGGGCAACCCUGAUGGAGCGACGCCGCGUGCAGGAUGAAGGCCUUCGGGUUGUAAACUGCUUUUCUCUGUGACGAAUAUGACGGUAGCAGAGGAAUAAGGAUCGGCUAACUCCGUGCCAGCAGCCGCGGUCACACGGAGGAUCCGAGCGUUAUCCGGAAUGACUGGGCGUAAAGAGUUGCGUAGGCGGUUUGUUAAGCGGGAUGUGAAAUCCCCAGGCUCAACCUGGGAACUGCAUUUCGAACUGGCAGACUUGAGAAUGGAAGAGGUCACUGGAAUUCCCGGUGUAGGAGUGAAAUCCGUAGAUAUCGGGAGGAACACCAAUGGCGUAGGCAGGUGACUGGUCCAUUUCUGACGCUGAGGCACGAAAGCUAGAGGAGCGAAUGGGAUUAGAUACCCC